rnacentral:rRNA from 1 species
CUGGUUGAUCCUGCCAGUAGUCAUAUGCUUGUCUCAAAGACUAAGCCAUGCAUGUCUAAGUAUGAAUGUUAUACAGUGAAACUGCGAAUGGCUCAUUAAAACAGUUAUUGUUUAUUUGAUAAUCAAAUUUACAUGGAUAACCGUGGUAAUUCUAGAGCUAAUACAUGCUGAUAUGCCUGACUCUUAGGAAGGGCUGUAUUUAUUAGAUAACAAACCAAUAUUCCUCGUGUCUAUUGUGAUGACUCAUAAUAACUGAUCGAAUCGCAUGGACUUUGUCCGCGAUACAUCAUUCAAGUUUCUGCCCCAUCAGCUUUCGAUGGUAGUGUAUUGGACUACCAUGGCUUUAACGGGUAACGGAGGAUUAGGGUUCGAUUCCGGAGAGGGAGCCUGAGAAACGGCUACCACAUCUAAGGAAGGCAGCAGGCGCGUAAAUUACCCAAUCCUAAUUCAGGGAGGUAGUGACAAGAAAUAACGGACUGAGGCCUACGCUUCAGGAUUGCAAUGAGUAGAAUUUAAACCCCUUUGCGAGGAUCAAUUGGAGGGCAAGUCUGGUA